AAAAUUAAAAACUGGUUGAAGCAAAAUUUAUUUCCGGUUGUAUCAAAAAUUGCUUUGCAUCUCUGAAAAAACAUAGUCUCCAGCAAAAAAAAUCCAAAGGUUCCAGCAAAAAAAGAUGUUGGUUGAAGCAAAAUUGCUUGUCGGUUGUAUCAAAAAUUGCUUGCCGAUCCCAUCGAAGAAGAAAGCCAUUGCCGCCAUGGGCAAACACCGCCAUUGGUGGAUGUAGCAAAGAUUAUCUUCGGUUCCAACAAAAUAAUAACAUGGUUGUAGCAAAAAAAAUCGCCGGUCAUAGCAAAGUCCGGCAAUGGAUGUAGCAAAACUUUGUCACCGCCCGUUGUGGUUGCAGCUUCGCCGUGAAAUACUUGUAGCAAAAAUUAUCGUCAGUCGUACCAAAAUCUGGCAAUGGAUGUAGCAAAACUUCGUCACCGCCGUCAUGCUUACAGCUUCGCCAUGAAAUCCUUGUAGCAAAAUUUUGUGUCAGUAGUAGCAAAAUCUGACGAAGGUUGUAGCAAAAAAUCAUAACGACACGCACCCCACUCUCCGCCAGCCCCGCCGGUUGAAACAUCCCCGGCCGGCUGCUCCCCAGUCGCGGGCCCUCAUCGUCUUCCUUGCACUAACGCGCCUCCCCCUUGCGGCGUGGGCAGGGAAGGGGGUAACCAGCUACAUAGCUCCCACGCCCGGCCCAGGCUCGCAGGCUCGCGGCGUCUCCCGGCCGGAGCAGCAGCAGAUGGCCGCACCUUCAGCGGAGACAUGGAAGAGCUCGUCCUGCGGUGUUGAGGAAUUUAACGGAGGAGAAGAGAAAAGAGAUAGACUGCGAGGGGAAUGGUUG
rnacentral:lncRNA from 1 species